rnacentral:tRNA from 1 species
GCCUGGGUGGCUCAGUUGGUUAAGCAUCUGACUUCAGCUCAGGUCAUGAUCUCAAGGUUUGGGAGUUCGAGCCCCGCAUCAGGCU